rnacentral:rRNA from 1 species
CACGUAGGGUCCAAGCGUUGUCCGGAUCUAUUGGGCGUAAAGAGCUCGUAGGCGGCUUGGUAAGUCGAGUGUGAAAACUCUGGGCUCAACUCAGAGACGCCACUCGAUACUGCUAUGGCUAGAGUCCGGUAGGGGAGUGUGGAAUUCCCGGUGUAGCGGUGAAAUGCGCAGAUAUCGGGAGGAACACCAGUAGCGAAGGCGGCACUCUGGGCCGGAACUGACGCUGAGGAGCGAAAGCGUGGGGAGCGAACAGG